GACGAACGCUGGCGGCGUGCUUAACACAUGCAAGUCGAACGGAAAGGCCCUGCUUUUGUGGGGUGCUCGAGUGGCGAACGGGUGAGUAACACGUGAGUAACCUGCCCUUGACUUUGGGAUAACUUCAGGAAACUGGGGCUAAUACUGGAUAGGAGCUCCUGCUGCAUGGUGGGGGUUGGAAAGUUUCGGCGGUUGGGGAUGGACUCGCGGCUUAUCAGCUUGUUGGUGGGGUAGUGGCUUACCAAGGCUUUGACGGGUAGCCGGCCUGAGAGGGUGACCGGCCACAUUGGCACUGAGAUACGGCCCAGACUCCUACGGGAGGCAGCAGUGGGGAAUAUUGCACAAUGGGCGGAAGCCUGAUGCAGCAACGCCGCGUGCGGGAUGACGGCCUUCGGGUUGUAAACCGCUUUCGCCUGUGACGAAGCGUGAGUGACGGUAAUGGGUAAAGAAGCACCGGCUAACUACGU
rnacentral:rRNA from 1 species